UGAUGGCCGCGGGCGGGGCCUGCUCCACACACUGUUGGGAGCCACCCGCCGGCAGCCAUCUUGCUCCGUCGGUGGCAGGAACCGCAGUGUGAGCGAGAAAGAGGGGAGAACACUCCACCCCUUCCUCUCCCUUACAGAUCUGUCUCGAGGUUCAGAGUAUUCUUUCCCUCGCUAAGCACUCUGGGACAUAUUAGAUUCUAUCGUCGUGCCUCCUCUUCAACCGGAAGGGGGCCUGCGCUGGCAUCCGAGCCACCACCUGCUGUAUGCUCUUCAGUUCCUGUUUGCUGUGAACGUGGCUUUGGGUCUCGGGUAUCUCCACAGCUCGUUCUGCGGACGAGAAAGGGCCGUUUGCGUCUCGAGCUUUCCUGGGUGGCUCUCCUUCAAGACAUGACACAGGGAUCUAGGCUUCUCCCAUCCUGAGAUGUCUCCAACUUUAACCAAGAGCCUCUCCAGUGACUUCAGAAGCAGAAAAGAAUGUGGGGAAGGCCCAUCAGAACCAGUUGAGAAGCAGACACAAGAGAGAGACUGAUGGAGAUAAAAA